rnacentral:rRNA from 1 species
GGCCGCGGGAAUUGGAUUCAGGCUUAACACAUGCAAGUCGAACGGCAGCACGGGAGCAAUCCUGGUGGCGAGUGAAGAAAGGGUGAGUAAUGUAUCGGAACGUGCCCAGUCGUGGGGGAUAAGGCAGCGAAAGUUGUGCUAAUGCCGCAUACGAUGUAUGGAUGAAAGCGGGGGAUCGCAAGACCUCGCGCGAUUGGAGUGGCCGAUAUCAGAUUAGCUAGUUGGUGGGGUAAAAGCUUACCAAGGCGAUGAUCUGUAGCUGGUCUGAGAGGACGUCCAGCCACACUGGAACUGAGACACGGUCCAGACUCCUACGGGAGGCAGCAGUGGGGAAUUUUGGACAAUGGGCGCAAGCCUGAUCCAGCAAAGGCGCGUGCAGGAUGAAGGCCUUCGGGUUGUAAUCUAAACGGGUACGGAGCGAAAAGGCUUUCUCUAAUACAGAGGGCUCAUGACGGUACCGUAA